AUUUUGUUCUUCUUCCCUUCGCCAUCAACAUAUCUCUUCUUCUUUUAUGUAUCUCUGCACAUCUUUCUUUCUUAUUCUCUAAACCACUACCACCGCGGUCUCUUCUUAUUCCUCUUGUUCAAAUGGCGGUGGAUUCCGAAGAAGGAAGGAUGAGAAGACAACAUGGUCGAGAUCUGGAAAUCCAAGUGUAGGAGAGCUUGCUCAAGAAGUGUCGCGAAGGUCUUCAAUCCACACAGAAACUUCAAUACAUUGCUUCUCUAUUGUUCAUCGAUCCAGAAACAGUUGGAGAGCUUGCUGUCUAUAGUUGGUGGAGUAUGGUCAGUGAAUAGAAAAUCUUGAAGUUGAGACAAAGGUGCGCGGAGAUGAUAGAUAAGCCGGAGACGAACAUGACGGUGGUGUAUGGGAUGAGCUUGGCAGUGGUGAGCCGAAGACGAGCUCGACGACAGUGAGUGGGAAGAGCCAUGGUGAUUCCGUCGUCAUCUCCGACGUCGAAGGAAAGAA